rnacentral:rRNA from 1 species
GACGAACGCUGGCGGCGUGCCUAACACAUGCAAGUCGAGCGAAUGGAUGGGAGCUUGCUCCCUGAAGUUAGCGGCGGACGGGUGAGUAACACGUGGGCAACCUGCCUGUAAGACUGGGAUAACUUCGGGAAACCGGAGCUAAUACCGGAUACAUUCUUUCUUCGCCUGAAGAAAGAUGGAAAGAUGGUUUCGGCUAUCACUUACAGAUGGGCCCGCGGCGCAUUAGCUAGUUGGUGAGGUAACGGCUCACCAAGGCAACGAUGCGUAGCCGACCUGAGAGGGUGAUCGGCCACACUGGGACUGAGACACGGCCCAGACUCCUACGGGAGGCAGCAGUAGGGAAUCUUCCGCAAUGGACGAAAGUCUGACGGAGCAACGCCGCGUGAGCGAAGAAGGCCUUCGGGUCGUAAAGCUCUGUUGCUAGGGAAGAACAAGUACCAGAGUAACUGCUGGUACCUUGACGGUACCUAACCAGAAAGCCACGGCUAACUACGUGCCAGCCGCCGCCGUAACAC